rnacentral:tRNA from 3 species
GACCGGUUCGUCUAGGGGUCUAGGACACCGCCCUUUCACGGCGGCAACACGGGUUCAAAUCCCGUACCGGUUACCA